rnacentral:rRNA from 1 species
UACAGAGGGUGCGAGCGUUGUUCGGAAUUAUUGGGCGUAAAGGGCGCGUAGGCGGUGCGGCAAGUCACCUGUGAAACCUCUGGGCUUAACCCAGAGCCUGCAGGCGAAACUGCCGUGCUGGAGUGUGGGAGAGGUGCGUGGAAUUCCCGGUGUAGCGGUGAAAUGCGUAGAUAUCAGGAGGAACACCAAUAGCGAAGGCAGCUCGCUGGGACGUUACUGACACUGAGGCGCGAAAGCGUGGGGAGCGAACAGG